rnacentral:rRNA from 1 species
GAUGAACGCUGACAGAAUGCUUAACACAUGCAAGUCGAUGGGGAAGUGGUGCUUGCACCAUGGCAACCAUGGCGGACGGGUGAGUAACGCGUAAGGGACUUACCUGCAGGACUGGGAUAACAGGGGGAAACUCCUGACAAGACCGGAUAAUGUCAUGGAGCUGCAUGGCUUUAUGAUGAAAGGAGACGCCUGCGGAGAGCCUUGCGUCCUAUUAGCUAGUUGGUGAGGUAAUGGCUCACCAAGGCGAAGAUAGGUAGCCGGCUUGAGAGGGUGGACGGCCACAAGGGGACUGAGAUUCGGCCCUUACUCCUACGGGAGGCAGCAGUGGGGAAUAUUGGACAAUGGGGGCAACCCUGAUCCAGCAAUUCUGUGUGCACGAAGAAGGUUUUCGGAUUGUAAAGUGCUUUCAGCAGGGAAGAAGUAAGUGACGGUACCUGCAGAAGAAGCGACGGCUAAAUACGUG